rnacentral:rRNA from 1 species
AACGGACGCUGGCGGCGUGGAUAAGACAUGCAAGUCGAACGGGAUUAUUUUUGUAGCAAUACAGAAAUAAUUCAGUGGCGAACGGGUGCGUAACACGUGGGCAAUCUGCCGAAAAGUGGGGGAUAGCUCGCCGAAAGGCGAAUUAAUACCGCAUGUGGUGAGGGACGACAUCUUCCUGAAUCCAAAGCCGGGGCAACCUGGCGCUUUUUGAGGAGCCCGCGGCCUAUCAGCUUGUUGGCGGGGUAACGGCCCACCAAGGCUAUGACGGGUAGCUGGUCUGAGAGGACGACCAGUCACACUGGAACUGAGACACGGUCCAGACACCUACGGGUGGCAGCAGUCGAGAAUUUUUCUCAAUGGGGGCAACCCUGAAGGAGCGACGCCGCGUGGAGGAUGAAGGCUUUCGGGUUGUAAACUCCUGUCAUUUGAGAACAAGGCGCCGAUAUUAACUGUAUCAGCGUUGAUAGUAUCAG